AUUGAACGCUGGCGGCAGGCUUAACACAUACAAGUCGAGCGGGGUGAUGGUGCUUGCACUAUCACUUAGCGGCGGACGGGUGAGUAAUGCUUAGGAAUCUGCCUAUUAGUGGGGGACAACAUCUCGAAAGGGAUGCUAAUACCGCAUACGUCCUACGGGAGAAAGCAGGGGAUCACUUGUGACCUUGCGCUAAUAGGUGAGCCUAAGUCGGAUUAGCUAGUUGGUGGGGUAAAGGCCUACCAAGGCGACGAUCUGUAGCGGGUCUGAGAGGAUGAUCCGCCACACUGGGACUGAGACACGGCCCAGACUCCUACGGGAGGCAGCAGUGGGGAAUAUUGGACAAUGGGGGGAACCCUGAUCCAGCCAUGCCGCGUGUGUGAAGAAGGCCUUAUGGUUGUAAAGCACUUUAAGCGAGGAGGAGGCUCUUUUGGUUAAUACCCAAGAUGAGUGGACGUUACUCGCAGAAUAAGCACCGGCUAACUCUGUGCCAGCCGCCGCAGUAA
rnacentral:rRNA from 1 species